rnacentral:rRNA from 1 species
UACGUAGGGUGCAAGCGUUGUCCGGAAUUAUUGGGCGUAAAGAGCUCGUAGGCGGUCUGUCACGUCGGCUGUGAAAACCCGCAGCUCAACUGUGGGCUUGCAGCUGAUACGGGCGGGCUGGGAUUCGGUAGGGGAGACUGGAAUUCCUGGUGUAGCGGUGAAAUGCGCAGAUAUCAGGAGGAACACCGGUGGCGAAGGCGGGUCUCUGGGCCGAUAUCGACGCUGAGGAGCGAAAGCGUGGGGAGCGAACAGG